GAUGAACGCUGGCGGCGUGCCUAAUACAUGCAAGUCGAGCGAACGGACGAGAAGCUUGCUUCUCUGAUGUUAGCGGCGGACGGGUGAGUAACACGUGGAUAACCUACCUAUAAGACUGGGAUAACUUCGGGAAACCGGAGCUAAUACCGGAUAAUAUUUUGAACCGCAUGGUUCAAAAGUGAAAGACGGUCUUGCUGUCACUUAUAGAUGGAUCCGCGCUGCAUUAGCUAGUUGGUAAGGUAACGGCUUACCAAGGCAACGAUGCAUAGCCGACCUGAGAGGGGGAUCGGCCACACUGGAACUGAGACACGGUCCAGACUCCUACGGGAGGCAGCAGUAGGGAAUCUUCCGCAAUGGGCGAAAGCCUGACGGAGCAACGCCGCGUGAGUGAUGAAGGUCUUCGGAUCGUAAAACGCUGUUAUUAGGGAAGAACAUAUGUGUAAGUAACUGUGCACAUCUUGACGGUACCUAAUCAGAAAGCCACGGCUAACUACGU
rnacentral:rRNA from 1 species